UGCGUAACAGCUCACUGGUCGAGAGGUCUUGCACGGAAAAUAAUCGGGCAUCAAACUACUAACCGAAGCUCUAUGAUUGCCAUUAGAUGGUAUAUCGGUAGGGGAGCAUUCAAACUGCAUCGAAGGUGUACGGUGACGUAUGCUGGAGCGGUUUGAAAAGAAAAUGUAGGCAUAAGUAACGAUAAAUAAGGUGAAAAACCUUAUCGCCGAAAGUCUAAGGGUUCCUGAUCAACGUUAAUCGGAUCAGGGUUAGCCCGGUCCUUAGUCAAACCCGAAAGGGGUAGACGAUGGAAAGCAGGUUAAUAUUCCUGCGCCUGCUAUGCAAUGAAAGUGACGGAGAGCCGUGGUGAUUACGUACUGACAGAAUAGUGCGUUCAGUGGAGUCUUCGGACGAAGCGAAAUCAUAAAAGCUCUUCCAAGAAAAGCGAGUAUAGCAGCCGGUACCGCAAACCGACACAGGUAGACGGGAUGAGUAUUCUAAGGCGCUCGGGUGAGCCGUGGAGAAGGAACUAGGCAAAUUGACGCUGUAACUUCGGGAUAAAGCGUACCAUCUUCGGAUGGUCUCAGUAAAAUGGUUCAACCAACUGUUUAACAAAAACACAGGGCCCUGCAAAAUCGAAAGAUGACGUAUAGAGCCUGAUACCUGCCCGGUGCUGGAAGGUUAAGGGGACGUGUUAGGGCAACCGAAGCACU
rnacentral:rRNA from 1 species